GUUGUUGUUAAGGUUUUAUUUUAUAUUUUUAAGAUAUUUGGCUAGUAUUGUGAGUGGUGGUUAUGGAAUUUUUAUAGAUUAGUAGUACUGUUGGGGAAUGUAAGUUUAUUUGUUUAUAAAAUUAGGUUUUUUAUUACCUUUUGUAUUAGGGUCUUUUAAUGUGAGGUUGUAUUAAUAUUGUCUCGAUGAAUAUCGGGCUAUUUUAUUUGGUGUUGUUUUUGUUGAAUAAAAUUAAUUAUAGUUUAAUAGUUAUGAAAUAUUAUUCAAGUUAUUUUUUAUCUAGUUUUCUAAGAAAUAUAAUGUAAGAUAUUUAUAUUAUUAAGAUAUGUUGGGAUUAGCUUACUUAUUAUUUAUAUUUUGUUUAAUUAAAUUUUAUUGGUGGAGUUAAAGGUUCUUAUUUUUAUUAUGUUAUUAUUUAUUAGAUUUGAUUUUAUGGUUUUUUAGUUUUAUGUUAAGAUUUGGGAUGUUGGUUUAAUUUGUAUUUAACGUUAUAAUGAUGGGAUUAGUAAUAUGUUGUUUAUGAAUUUGGUUUAUAGAUUUAUUUUGGUUUAUAGGAAAAGAAUUAAUUAAUAUUGAAGAAUUAGGCAAUAUUAGCUUUUGACUGUUUAGCAAAAACAUUGUUUUUUGUUUGGAUAAGAAAUAAGGUCUGUCCACUGCUUAGUAGUGAAGGGCUGCAGUAUUUUGACUGUAUGAAGGUAGCAUAAUCAUUAGUUUUUUGAUUGAAAACUGGUAUGAAGGUGAAACAGAGGCUUACUAUUUUAAUAAUAAUUAAUGAAUUUUAUUUUUAUGUGAAAAAUCGUAGUUAGAUUAAAGGGACAAGAAGACCCUAGUAAGUUUUAUCUUUUAUUGUGAUGGGUAUAUAGGUUAUUAAAUUGAUAUGAUUUAUAAUAUGUGGGUUUUGCUGGGGCGGUUGAUAGUUAAACACUGUUUAAUUUUUAAUUUUUGAUGGCGUGAAUUUGAUCUGGUUUGGUCAGUUGUAUGUUAAAUUACUGUAGGGAUAACAGCGUAAUUUUUUUUAAGAGUUCUUAUUGACAGAAAAGUUUGCGACCUCGAU
rnacentral:rRNA from 1 species